UAUCUAUGACGUUUAUCUAUUGUCAUAUUUUAAAUUUUAUACUAGCAAAGCAACUCAUUAGUUCAUUAUUUUGUAAUUUCUAAAUGAUUGAAUUAAACUAGAAUAUUUUAAAGUGAUUUAUUUGGUUUACUCUUGACUACGUUUCAACAGACCGGUAAGCUAUCCAAACGCCUAGACGGCCUAGAGACUGUAAGGUCUAUCAUUCUAUUGAAAUUGCCAAAUCGAAGAUUCGCUCGAAAGUUGGACGAAAGCUCGAAAAGUUAGUAAGCGAUCAUAAUACCAAUUACCGUCCCGACAAUAUGAUUUCACGUGUCUACUGCGGCAGAACCGAUUUGACACACACUGAUAACUCUAAAACCAAUCUGGACAAAAAUUAUAUCACCUAAAGUAAUAUGAAUUUUGUAUAAAAUAAAUUGUAGU